rnacentral:rRNA from 1 species
ACUCCUACGGGAGGCAGCAGUGAGGAAUAUUGGUCAAUGGUCGCAAGACUGAACCAGCCAUGCCGCGUGCAGGAAGACGGUCCUAUGGAUUGUAAACUGCUUUUAUACAGGGAAGAAACCCUCCCACGUGUGGGAGCUUGACGGUACUGUUAGGAAUAAGGAUCGGCUAACUCCGUGCCAGCAGCCGCGGUAAUACGGAGGAUCCAAGCGUUAUCCGGAAUCAUUGGGUUUAAAAGGGUCCGUAGGCGGCCUUAUAAGUCAGUGGUGAAAGCCCAUCGCUCAACGAUGGAACUGCCAUUGAUACUGUAAGGC